AUAUAAAAAUAAAUGCUUAAAUGGAGGUGAAAUCUUUUUAAGUGAAUUUUUACACAUUUCAUAUUUUCUUACACUGGGUUCCUAGAAGUAUUAUUGAAUCAAAGUAUACUUUUAUUAGGAUCUGUAUUACCAUAUUGCAUUCCACAAAGGGUAUACCAUUUUACAUUCUCAAAAGUAGUAUCAUCUACACUGGUAAUUAUUCUAAUUUUAACUAGUUUCGUGGGUGAAAAGGGACAUGACAUUAUUUUACUUUGCUUUUUGUGAACUUAAAUAUUGUUUGUGUAUUGAUCAUUUGUAUUUCCUCUCUUUGGAAUUGCCUGUUAAGAUAAAAUGCAUUUUAAAAAUUAGUCCUGUUGGGAGAACUUUGUAGGAUCAAGAAAAAAAUGAUGGAAAAGAAUCUAACAUUGUUACAUCUCUCACGUAUCUUCGGUAUCAUAAAUACGUAAGAUGGAUGUAGAUUAAAUAUUUCUGAUUUCUAAGUCUUUUAUAUUCCAUUCUCUUUAGAUGUUUCAGUGUAAUUGUCAGUAAAUUUUAUUCUUCUUUUACAGUUGACAUUUUGCUAAAGGCUGUGGGAGACACUCCUAUUAUGAAAACAAAGAAGUGGGCAGUAGAGCGAACACGAACCAUCCAAGGACUCAUUGACUUCAUCAAAAAGUUUCUUAAACUUGUGGCCUCAGAACAGUUGACCCAAGAGGUAUAGGUCCUAUUAUUUUCCAUAUCUUACAAAUAAAGAGGAUGAGAGAUUAUUUGUAAAGCCAGGAUUCAAACCCAGUUUAUUUAUGUGAAUCAGUCCUUUGCUCCUUCCCCAGACCAAGAAGUUGGAACUCUCUAUGAGUGUUUUGGCAGUGAUGGUAAACUGGUUUUACAUUACUGCAAGUCUCAGGCGUGGGGAUGAACCACAAAGAAAAUCAACUUGCUACUACAUAAAAUGGAUUUUCACGGAAGAGACAGCUCUGAAAAGUUUUGAUGCUUGUGGCAAGAGACUUAACAGAUGUGAUCUAUUUAGUAUGUGUCUACUCUAUGUUUAUGCAUAAGAAAACAUCCAUAGCAUGAAUGGACUCAGAAAAAUGUGAUUUGUAUUAAUACACCAGUCAUCAUAAAAGAUGGUCAUGAUAGUACACCCAUUGCUCCUACUUGUUACUAUUAUUGCUGCAGAUCUGCCUCCAAGGUUGAAAAGGAGACUAAGACUGUAUAAACAUCUUCAUUGCCAG
rnacentral:sRNA from 1 species